GGAUAUUGUGUAGGAAUCGUCGGUUAUCUUGAAACAUCUGACAGUUAGUUGCAUUGGAAACGGAAAUCAUGAAGGCUGCAAUUUUUUUGUGUUGUGUGCUUUUGGUGAUCAGCAUAGACGCUCAGGAUGAUUUCAAAAUUGAUCAAAAUUUUUAUAAAAAUUUUGGAUACGAUGUAAACUGCAACGAGAAUCAAACAUUUUCAGAAUAUUCUAUGUGUGAAAAAAGAUGUGAUCAAAUGAAUCCUCCCGAGAACUGCCCUGAUGUGGACUAUGUAGGAUGUGGCUGCAAAGAUGGUUAUAUACCAGUUGACAAAAGUUUCCAUAAGUGCGUACUUCCACAAGAUUGUCCUUAACAACAUUUAACGAUGAUGCCUAUGAUGAUGUCUUGUGAUUAAAAGAAUCAGUAAAUCGAUAAUUCCCUGGCAAUAUUCUCAAAGAGAUAUUACAAACCAAUUCACGUCUGUGGAGACUCUAUGUGAUUUAAUUUAAUAAAUUUUAAACUGCAUUAAAAAUGAAUGCAUUUACUGUAAAUAAAAGGGUAAAUAAGUCUUUCAUUUUUAAAUUGUGUAAAGUUGAAUAUAUUUUAAACUGCAUUUAAAACACGAAUGAAAACUUUUAUUGUAAAUAAUUAAUGUUUAUUAAGUUUUUAUUUUUAUUAUUAAAGAAAGAAAUAAAAAAUUACAACAGUGUA